rnacentral:rRNA from 1 species
UACGUAGGGUCCGAGCGUUGUCCGGAAUUAUUGGGGCGUAAAGAGCUCGUAGGCGGUUUGUCGCGUCUGCUGUGAAAUCCCGAGGCUCAACCUCGGGCCUGCAGUGGGGUACGGGGCAGACUGGAGUGCGGGUAGGGGAGAAUGGAAUUCCUGGUGUAGCGGUGAAAUGCGCAGAUAUCAGGAGGAACACCGGUGGCGAAGGCGGAUCUCUGGGCCUUACCUGACGCUCAGGUGCGAAAGCUAGGGGGAGCGAACAGG